rnacentral:rRNA from 1 species
GACGAACGCUGGCGGCGUGCUUAACACAUGCAAGUCGAACGGAAAGGCCCUGCUUUUGUGGGGUGCUCGAGUGGCGAACGGGUGAGUAACACGUGAGUAACCUGCCCGUGACUUUGGGAUAAUCUCAGGAAACUGGGGCUAAUACCGGAUAGGAGCCCCUGCCGCAGGGUGGGGGUUGGAAAGUUUGGGCGGUUGGGGAUGGACUCGCGGCUUAUCAGCUUGUUGGUGGGGUAGUGUCUUACCAAGGCUUUGACGGGUAGCGGGCCUGAGAGGGUGACCGGCCACAUUGGGACUGAGAUACGGCCCAGACUCCUACGGGAGGCAGCAGUGGGGAAUAUUGCAAAAUGGGCGGAAGCCUGAUGCAGCAACGCCGCGUGCGGAAUAACGGCCUUCGGGUUGUAAACCGCUUUCGCCUGUGACGAAGCGUGAGUGACGGUAAUGGGUAAAGAAGCACCGGCUAACUACGUG